UACGUAGGGUGCGAGCGUUAAUCGGAAUUACUGGGCGUAAAGUGUGCGCAGGCGGCCGAGCAAGUCGAGUGUGAAAGCCCCGAGCUUAACUUGGGAAUUGCGCUCGAAACUACUUGGCUGGAGUGUGGCAGAGGAAGGUGGAAUUCCAGGUGUAGCGGUGAAAUGCGUAGAGAUCUGGAGGAACACCGGUGGCGAAGGCGGCAUCCUGGACCGGCAUUGACGCUGAGGCGCGAAAGCUAGGGGAGCAAACGGG
rnacentral:rRNA from 1 species